AUCCCAGAUAGACUUCUUUUGUGUUUAUCUGAUUCAUGGGAGGCAUAGAUUGGCAAUGGAUGUUUCGCUGAUAGCAUCUAUUUUGUCUUUAGGGAGGUGUUUAAUAGUAGCAUUCCAUACAUGA